ACCACAUAUUUCCUUCUUUCCCUCUCAAAAUAACACAUAAAAAUUAAUCCCCAAGAUUUAGCUUCUCUAUUUUGCCUUGUUUUGUGCCAAUUCUAUAGGAUACAUAAUUAAUUAAUUUUUAAAAUUUUAUUUUAUGUAUUCCUCCUAAUAAUUUGAUUAUGACCCAGUUCUUAUUUUUCCAUACAUCUCUCCCCUCCAUAAAUACCACUCUCUCUUUCCCUUCAAUCUCUACUCUUCUCUCACUUUCUCUUCCCUUUUUGCCCUAAUUUUCCUCCUCCUUUGUCCUUGUGCUCUCAUCACAACACAAGACAAAUUUUCUAUAUAUAUAAUACAUCUCUCCACUUCUUCUUCUUCAUCUUGUGUUCAAUCACACUCAUUCAUAUAUAUAUUUUAAUGGCCAUGUUAGUUAAAUAUAGUUAUGGUUAAUUACUGAUGAUGGGAUAUCAUUGAUUAACUCAUGCAUCUAUACAUGUAUUUCUGUAUGUGCCUGGCUCCCUGUAUGCCAUUUGCAGAGCCCAUCGGAUCAUCGAUGGCCUUCGUGGAUGGCGUAUGAGGAGCCAUGCAUAUUCUUACUUAUAUUAUACAUCCAUGGUGUGUGUGUUCUCUGCAGAUUUUUUCUUUGUUCUUGCAGGAUUAAGGGAUGUAAUUGAAGAAAACUAUUUGAGAGAGGGCAGCAUUGUAAUUUUGAAAAGAUUCAGGUGCUUUGAAGGUUAGCAUUUGGGGAAUUCGAAAGACAGAAGACAUAAAAACAAACACACGUCUGAAAGAGAAAAAGAAAAUGGUAAGAAUUAUGGGGAAAGUAAAUGUAUGUGCAGGAGCAGGAUUAUGAUUAUAGCAACUAGGGAAUCUGAUGGACCCCCUUUUUUCUCUUCACAAUAACCCUAAAUUUCUCUGUUUUUUCAUUGGCUACUUGGGAAUAUGUUUUACGUUAAAAGCAGGUCAAAAGGACACAUUGCUCAGAUCAUCUAAGGGACCACCAUUUUUUGAGAUCUCCUGAAAAUCAAUUCUCGGAUUUUGGUCAUUAAUUUCUGAAUUUUACAACCAAUUUUUCACUUUUAUUUUCUUGAAUAUUAGGGUUCAUCAUUAUUAUCUCCUUCAUUGCCUCA